rnacentral:rRNA from 1 species
AUUGAACGCUGGCGGCAUGCUUUACACAUGCAAGUCGAACGGUAACAGGUCUUCGGAUGCUGACGAGUGGCGAACGGGUGAGUAAUACAUCGGAACGUGCCUAGUAGUGGGGGAUAACUACUCGAAAGAGUAGCUAAUACCGCAUGAGAUCUACGGAUGAAAGCAGGGGACCUUCGGGCCUUGUGCUACUAGAGCGGCUGAUGGCAGAUUAGGUAGUUGGUGGGGUAAAGGCUUACCAAGCCUGCGAUCUGUAGCUGGUCUGAGAGGACGACCAGCCACACUGGGACUGAGACACGGCCCAGACUCCUACGGGAGGCAGCAGUGGGGAAUUUUGGACAAUGGGCGAAAGCCUGAUCCAGCAAUGCCGCGUGCAGGAUGAAGGCCCUCGGGUUGUAAACUGCUUUUGUACGGAACGAAAAGCCUGGGGCUAAUAUCCCCGGGUCAUGACGGUACCGUAAGAAUAAGCACCGGCUAACUACGUGCCAGCAGCCGCGGUAAUACGUAGGGUGCAAGCGUUAAUCGGAAUUACUGGGCGUAAAGCGUGCGCAGGCGGUUUUGUAAGACAGUGGUGAAAUCCCCGGGCUCAACCUGGGAACUGCCAUUGUGACUGCAAGGCUAGAGUGCGGCAGAGGGGGAUGGAAUUCCGCGUGUAGCAGUGAAAUGCGUAGAUAUGCGGAGGAACACCGAUGGCGAAGGCAAUCCCCUGGGCCUGCACUGACGCUCAUGCACGAAAGCGUGGGGAGCAAACAGGAUUAGAUACCCUGGUAGUCCACGCCCUAAACGAUGUCAACUGGUUGUUGGGUCUUAACUGACUCAGUAACGAAGCUAACGCGUGAAGUUGACCGCCUGGGGAGUACGGCCGCAAGGUUGGAACUCAAAGGAAUUGACGGAGACCCGCACAAGCGGUGGAUGAUGUGGUUUAAUUCGAUGCAACGCGAAAAACCUUACCCACCUUUGACAUGGCAGGAACUUACCAGAGAUGGUUUGGUGCUCGAAAGAGAACCUGCACACAGGUGCUGCAUGGCUGUCGUCAGCUCGUGUCGUGAGAUGUUGGGUUAAGUCCCGCAACGAGCGCAACCCUUGCCAUUAGUUGCUACAUUCAGUUGAGCACUCUAAUGGGACUGCCGGUGACAAACCGGAGGAAGGUGGGGAUGACGUCAAGUCCUCAUGGCCCUUAUAGGUGGGGCUACACACGUCAUACAAUGGCUGGUACAAAGGGUUGCCAACCCGCGAGGGGGAGCUAAUCCCAUAAAGCCAGUCGUAGUCCGGAUCGCAGUCUGCAACUCGACUGCGUGAAGUCGGAAUCGCUAGUAAUCGUGGAUCAGAAUGUCACGGUGAAUACGUUCCCGGGUCU